GGGUUUAUUCCAAGCUGUGCCAGGAAGAGAUGUACUUGUAUGGCUGCCACCAAUUUUCUAGAUGACUCGGAUCAGGUAUGGGUUUCUGAUAGGGCAGUGCCUGGCACUCACUGAAAACAGGUCAAAAGGAAUUGCAGAUGGCUGAAGAUCUGCUGUUGACAUGAGAGGAAGAAGGAGUUCACGGCCAGAGAGUUCCUGAAAAUGAAAACGCUCUCGAGAGGAAGAGGUCACAAGAUCCAAUUUUCCCUUUAUGUAAGUCCAAAAUGUAAAACCCAACACUUCUAUAUUUUGGUUUUAGCUGUCAUUUUAAGUAUCAACUGGUGGUGCAGUCUGCAGAUUUUAUUCCCAAGAGACUCUACAUUGCUUCCCAGCUGCCUUUCUUUGGUUUCCUGUUCUGUGGGGAUACAGUCAGAGACCAGAGAAGGACAGGAGCUUAGUAUUAUGGCAGCCAUUUCCAGAAAGUUGUAGAACAACAACUUUUCCCACGAAGGGAAGAAACACAGACAAGGACUGGACUCUUAACAUACAUGCAUUUUAAAACAGAAUGUGAUAGGAGCUUUGUGGCCAUUUCUCCAGGAGAAUCUUUGUGAUAUGAAUGGCUACAAGCACCCAACUGGCACAACUGUCAGUAACGCACAGGAUGCACGGCUGCUUCACUCCAUGCUGAGUUUGAAGAAAAUAGAUGUUAAGUACCAGGCACCAGCUCUGUGAAACGAGACAGUUAAGAAACCGAAGUGCUUGUCUGAGUCUACAUUUUUAAAGACUGUAGUCUCUCAAGACAGCCUUUACCAAAUCCAUGCCGAGGAAACUUGU